ACUCCUACGGGAGGCAGCAGUGGGAAUAUUGCACAAUGGGCGCAAGCCUGAUGCAGCCAUGCCGCGUGUAUGAAGAAGGCCUUCGGGUUGUAAAGUUACUUCAGCAGUGAGGAAGGUGGGUAUGUUAAUAGCAUACUCAUUUGACGUUAGCUGCAGAAGAAGCAGCCGGCUAACUCCGUGCCAGCAGCCGCGGUAAUACGGAGGGUGCGAGCGUUAAUCGGAAUUACU
rnacentral:rRNA from 1 species